rnacentral:rRNA from 1 species
AGCAGUCGCCGCGGUAAUACGUAGGGUGCAAGCGUUAAUCGGAAUUACUGGGCGUAAAGCGUGCGCAGGCGGUUAUUCAAGACAGAUGUGAAAUCCCCGGGCUCAACCUGGGAACUGCAUUUGUGACUGGAUGACUAGAGUACGGCAGAGGGGGAUGGAAUUCCGCGUGUAGCAGUGAAAUGCGUAGAUAUGCGGAGGAACACCGAUGGCGAAGGCGAUCCCCUGGGCCUGUACUGACGCUCAUGCACGAAAGCGUGGGGAGCAAACAGGAUUAGAUACCCCAGUAGUCCCUGUCUCUUAUAC